UGACGCCAUGACGACAGCCAAGUUCCCGAGUGUCACCGAGACCACCGUUACAUGAUCCAUCUCUAAUCAUCUUAAUAUGGACGACCAGAGUCGGCAGGACCCGCGACCCCCCAGGUGCCUCCCCACUCCCUCAGCCUUUCUUGUGACGUCUGGGAUCCGUCCCUUGAGGGGGGCGGGGGGCUAAGGUCAGCUGUGCGACAGGGGAAGCACAGCUCUCACCUUUCCCUUUGAGGUCAUGUCCACGCCAUCCUCUCUGGUGGGCCUGCGGACCCUAUCAUCUCCUCCUAGGUGGACGCUUCUGACUCGGGGCUAGGGGCCGUUAUCUCCUAACAUGCCAGCUCUGAUCAGAAACUGCACCCCGUGCCUUCUUCUCCAGGCCCGUGUAGUGGUUUUGCUGGCACAAAACACCCCGUGUCUUCUUCUACAGGCCUGCGUAGUGGUUUUGCUGGCCUAAACACCAUGUGCUUUCUUCUCCAGGUGUCUCUCGCCUGCAAAGAGAAAUUCUGACAUCGGCAACCAAGACCUCCUGGCUGUUAUACUCGCCCUCCAGCAGUGGAUGCACUGGGUGGAGGGUGCCACACAUCCCUUCAUCAUCUACAACAACCAUCCAAACCUCUCAUAUACGCUCCGCUCACAGCUUAAUCCCUGCCAGACUGGACACUGGCCGAGAGUUAGUGGGCGGCCGAGUGUGGAGUCUGCUCUCCUGGUUGCUUAGUUGGCUCUGUUCCUGUCUCUGGCCAUGCUCCCCCCACCCCAGCAGACGAUGGUGUGCAACACAGCAGAGGCCACCACAACCCUAGGCGAUUACGUUCCAGAUCUCAGAGGUAAACUGUGCAACCCGGUCAGAGGAGAGGUCUUAAGGGGUACCGAAGCACGUGACCCAUGUGCUGAUGAAUGCCUGGGCCACAUCAGUGGGCGACGUUGACGCAAGGGGAACGGCUUCCGGCCAGCGGGUUGUCCUGUCCACUAUGGUAAGGAGCAAACUGCUCCAAUGGUGCCUUGGUUUGGUGGUGCCACACACGGGUCGACCCAGGCGCACACAUCCUUCUUCAGCCCCCUCCAGAAGUACUUCUGGACCACCAGCUUUGCAGUGGCUUUUCUGCCCGGAUGGGCGAGGCUGUGGAUCGCUUCAAAAACAGCACGCCGCCAACCAACAGGAACCAGGGGCCUAGGCUGGCCAGUUGAGAGACCGCACCACAGCCUGAACCCUGAGUCACCGGCCACGACUUCCUCCAGGUCCAGUGUCCGAACCCCUCAGUGUCUGGAUCUCACGGUUAGAGGCCUGUUCCGCACCCAUACGUGAGUGGUCCAGAUCGAACUGCACCGUGCUGACGGUCCCUUUGGAGAGGCAUUCUGCGACCAUGUUGGACUCGACCGCGAUGUGUCGGAUGUCUGUGGUGUACACCCAGAUGAUUGACAGCUGGUGUUGUUGGCGGGCGGCCCACGGCUCAGCCACCUUGGACCCCACUGCUCCAGCACAGUGCCAACGGCAUAGUCCGAUGCAUCCGUCGUGUGAGCAACCGGUGCCUCCUGGGAUGGGUGGACAACAUGGUGGCCUGGCACAGCGCGGCCUUCAUGUCCUCGAAUGCCUUGUCCCUCCCGGCCUUCCAGUCGACAUCCUGGUUAUGGGUCCCACCCUUCAGGGCUUCAUACAGCAGUAAAGCAAGCGGUUGCGAUGAUAAAGGCUGUGCCAGACAUCUUUCCAUCCCCUAUUGCUCCACCAAAGAAGUUUGGGCAUGCAAGUGAGGCCGUGUUUCACAUCCUCGAGGUAAAAAAUGUUGUAUGACCUUUUUUUUCCUGUACUUUACA